AUGCCCCCCCCCCCGCCCCAAAAGGCAGAACUAGGAUCGCGCUGCUUCCCGGAGCGGCACGAGCGCUUGGCUCAGGUUUCCGCGGGGUCCGGAGCCUCUGGCGUUGAGCACAGAAAGCAGUUCUGCCCGCAGAUGCCUCCAAGACUCAAGUUUCCCGGAGCCGGGGUGGGGGGCGGGGGCAGCACGCCCCGCACGAAGAAAGCGCUCUGCAAACCGCCAAGCCGCUGGGCAAACCGGAGCUUCGGAAACAAUACCUCGGAGAGGCGGGGAGGGGGCCAACAACUUGCCGACCAUGGGCGCCGGCCGCUGCCGGGGGACGGGGUGGAGGGUGGAGGGUGGAGGGGGGCGCGGUGGCGGGAAGGGCCAGGCGCUGCUGCAGCCCCCCCCCCCCCCCCCCCCCCCGCAGCCCGCGCGCUCCGAGAGCCCGUUUCCGGGGUCGGGGUCCCAGGUGACCGCACGGCCCAGGCCAGCCGCGCCCCCGACCCCUGUCGGCCCGUCCGGGUCGCAGCCCCCCCUCCCUCCGCCCCCCGGGCAGCCCCCGCCGGCUCACCUGCGCGCGCCCGGCGUCCUCCGCUUCCCCCCUCGGGAGGCGUCUGGAGCCGACCCGCGGCGCCGUCCCGCCUCCCGCGCUCGCCCCGCCCCCUCCGAGCCGGAACCGCGGGCUUCCGGGCGCUUCUCCCCGCCCCCUCGCCCCUAGUGUGGCGUCACUUCCGCCAGCGCCCGGCCGCGCGCCGCGAGCGUGGGCGUCGCGCACGCGCCGGGAGCGCCCCAGAGUCGGGAGCGCGCCCCGCGGAUGACAACAAAUUCGUCGCGCGGCGGAGGCGGUGGAGGAGUCCGCCUCGGUACCUGCCGCGGGCCGUGCCGCGUGCGCCCCUGCAUCCUGCCUGCGUGACGACUGGGGCCCUCGCGGAGGCCUCCCCACGCCCCCACACCCCCCCGGGCCUGGGGCGUCGGGUCCCCGCCGGGCCUAGCGCGAGCCGCGCGGCGCGGGCCAUGGGGUCGCCCUGA
rnacentral:lncRNA from 1 species